GACUUUGCAAGUGCACAGGCUGGGCUUGAGUUAUGAUGGCCGCAUAUGUCAUGAGACCAAUUUCCGCAUGACAUGCAUGUUACAGUAUUAUUUGAAUAUAUGGAAAGAAAAAUAAAGAAAUAAAUUCAUCAUGAGCCAGGGAUGGGAUCAUAAUAAGAGUGGAAACAGCAUUUCAAAAUAAAGGACAGUUUACAAUAUCUAUUACAAAAUGGCGACAUCUGUAGAUGCAGGUCAAAGUGGUUCAGAUUCCGUGAAGGACAAUGUUUGUGGAGGUUGCGAAAGCAGAACAAUUUAUGAAAUUGAUUAUUUUUGUGCAACAUGUACGAAGUUUUUCUGCAGAAAAUGCAUUGAUCAUCAUGAUCAAAUAUAUGCAAACCAUACUAAAUAUGGAAGAGGAGAAACAAAUACAUGGCCUGUUACAAAGACUUGGAGGAAUUGCUACUGAACUGUGCUGUCCACAAAGAGGAGAAACUGAAAAUGUUUUGUCAGGACCACAGUCAGCUGUGUUGCAAUUAUUGUGUUUUACUGAAUCACAGACAGUGUACAAAUAUUGCUCUCAUUUUUAAGUCAACCAAAAACCUGUCAAUGGAUAUGCAAAAGUUAUCAAACAAACUGCAAACUAUUGUUGGAGAACUGAAUAAGUUUAAGAGUAAACAAGAGGCCAGCAUUCAGUCCGUGGAGGUAUCAUGUAAUGACAAACUGCGAGAAAUCAAAGACCUUCGAAAGAAAUUAAAUGCUGCUUUGGAUGCACUAGAAAAAACAACCUUGACAGAUCUCGAUGAAAUUCGGACCGCAAUGCUAACCUCUCUCAAGAAAGAUGUUGAAAACUGCAGCAGACUGAGGGAUGACUUGCAAACACUCAGUGAAGCUGUAAAUGGCCUUUGUGAUAAGAUUAGGAAAGAACUUGAGCUCAUAGCCAGCAGAAAAUGUAUGGACAAAAUAAAAGAGUCUGAGUCAUAUCUAAAGAAAAUGUAAAGGUUCAGAGUUUUAUAUUCACAGCAAACACUGACAUUGAGCAAUACCUGUUUACACAGUCUAGUUUAGGAAGGAUUGUAGGCAAUAUGCAACCCCUCACUGUGAAGAGCAAAUCAGUGUAUAGUGUGAGCAUACCAAGUGACACAUAUAAAGUCUUCCAAAUCAAUGGCAUUUGCUGCCUGCCUAUCGGCCAGGUCAUUGUUGCAGAUUACCAUAAUAAGAAAGUGAAACUGUUAGACCAGCAUUACAAUGUUUCCAGUCACUGUGAUGUGUCUGGUCAUGCAUGGGACAUUUGCCAAAUCACAUCCAGUAUGGUGACUGUAACUGGUGCAGGUGUGCAGUUUUUAUCUGUGAGCAAUGAAAAUCUGGUGAGUUGAAAAAAGAUUUCAUUACAGCAUGAUGUCCUAGGUAUUGCACACCAUAAGCGAGUGUUGUAUAUCACCUCUGGCAAUUCCCUGCAACACUUCAAUAUGACUGGGACACUUGUGAAAAACUGUAUGAGGAUGCUGGGGGCACUUUUAAUGUGUUUUACUGUGCAGUGAGUCCUGCAGGAGAUAGGAUCUAUGUCACCAACAAAAAGCAGCACAAGCUUCUCACUCUGGCUACAGAUGGAACCCUGAUAUCCACCUUUGAGCACACUGAACUACAAGGCACAAGGCUUGUACACGUAACACCUGCAGGACAAGUGUUUGUUUGCGGAUACGAUUCCAAUUAUGUCAUACAAGUGGAUCAUGAGGGAAAAAAAGAAACUAGCAACUCUGGCUUCACAAAAAGAUGGACGCUGGAAUACAGCCUCUGUCUGCUACAACACCAACACUCACCAGAUCAUUGUGGGACUAUUGAAUAACAGUGAAAUCAUUGUUAUGGACUUGCAAUAGCUCUUCCAUUGGAUGAAAACAUUUACCAAAAACACUUUUUAAACAUAAUUGCCCCUUUUUCUGUGAAUGGCUUUUUCAGUAUUAGCAAUUUAUAUUUAGUUAAAGAAAAAACAUACUCAUAGAGUUUAAUUUUGUAAUGAACAAGUAAUUUAACUAAUUGAAAAUCAGUUGUUUUAAUGCUUGAAAGAUUGCACCAUUUUAAACAUGAAACAAUCUAUAAUGUUGACUCUGAUUAGUUCUUUCAUGUUUUAAUGCACAGUUAUACAUGUUUUAUGUUAAGUAAUAAUUAAGAUGUAUACACAUUUGAUUAUUUAUAAAUUUUGAUGUUAUUCAUUACUCAUUAGUUAUUGUUGAGGAACAAAUGUUUCUAUGUCAUUUAUUCUUUUCUUGUAUAAAUUUAAAAAAUAA